rnacentral:rRNA from 1 species
AUUAGAUACCCUGGUAGUCCAUGCCGUAAACGAUGUCUACUAGCCGUUGGGGCCUUUGAGGCUUUAGUGGCGCAGCUAACGAGAUAAGUAGACCGCCUGGGGAGUACGGUCGCAAGACUAAAACUCAUAUGAAUUGACGGGGGCCCGCACAAGCGGUGGAGCAUGUGGUUUAAUUCGAUGCAACGCGAAGAACCUUACCUGGCCUUGACAUACUAGAAACUUUCCAGAGAUGGAUUGG